UGGGGUGUAGCUCAGUAGUAGAGCACAUACUUAACGUGUGCAAGACCCUGGGUUUCAUUCCCAGCACUACAA
rnacentral:tRNA from 1 species